UACGUAGGCAGCGAGCGUUGUUCGGAGUUACUGGGCGUAAAGAGUGCGUAGGCGGUUUUCUAAGUUUGGUGUGAAAUCUCCCGGCUCAACUGGGAGGGUGCGCCGAAGACUGGAAGGCUUGAGUAUGGGAGAGGUAAGCGGAAUUCCUGGUGUAGCGGUGAAAUGCGUAGAUAUCAGGAGGAACACCUGCGGUGUAGACGGCUUACUGGACCAUAACUGACGCUGAGGCACGAAAGCUAGGGGAGCGAAUGGG
rnacentral:rRNA from 1 species